UACGUAGGGUGCGAGCGUUAAUCGGAAUACUGGGCGUAAAGCGUGCGCAGGCGGUGAUGUAAGACAGUUGUGAAAUCCCCGGGCUCAACCUGGGAAUUGCAUCUGUGACUGCAUCGCUAGAGUACGGUAGAGGGGGAUGGAAUUCCGCGUGUAGCAGUGAAAUGCGUAGAUAUGCGGAGGAACACCGAUGGCGAAGGCAAUCCCCUGGGCCUGCACUGACGCUGAGGAGCGAAAGCAUGGGGAGCGAACAGG
rnacentral:rRNA from 1 species